GGCGGCGUGCUUAACACAUGCAAGUCGAACGAUGAAGCCCUUCGGGGUGGAUUAGUGGCGAACGGGUGAGUAACACGUGGGCAAUCUGCCCUUCACUCUGGGACAAGCCCUGGAAACGGGGUCUAAUACCGGAUAACACCUGCCCGGGCAUCUGGGUGGGUUAAAAGCUCCGGCGGUGAAGGAUGAGCCCGCGGCCUAUCAGCUUGUUGGUGAGGUAGUGGCUCACCAAGGCGACGACGGGUAGCCGGCCUGAGAGGGCGACCGGCCACACUGGGACUGAGACACGGCCCAGACUCCUACGGGAGGCAGCAGUGGGGAAUAUUGCACAAUGGGCGAAAGCCUGAUGCAGCGACGCCGCGUGAGGGAUGACGGCCUUCGGGUUGUAAACCUCUUUCAGCAGGGAAGAAGCGAAAGUGACGGUACCUGCAGAAGAAGCGCCGGCUAACUACGUGCCAGCAGCCGCGGUAAUACGUAGGGCGCAAGCGUUGUCCGGAAUUAUUGGGCGUAAAGAGCUCGUAGGCGGCUUGUCACGUCGGGUGUGAAAGCCCGGGGCUUAACCCCGGGUCUGCAUUCGAUACGGGCUAGCUAGAGUGUGGUAGGGGAGAUCGGAAUUCCUGGUGUAGCGGUGAAAUGCGCAGAUAUCAGGAGGAACACCGGUGGCGAAGGCGG
rnacentral:rRNA from 1 species